AAGGCGGGUGCUAUACAUGCAGUCGAACGCUUCUUUCCUCCCGAGUGCUUGCACUCAAUUGGAAAGAGGAGUGGCGGACGGGUGAGUAACACGUGGGUAACCUACCCAUCAGAGGGGGAUAACACUUGGAAACAGGUGCUAAUACCGCAUAACAGUUUAUGCCGCAUGGCAUAAGAGUGAAAGGCGCUUUCGGGUGUCGCUGAUGGAUGGACCCGCGGUGCAUUAGCUAGUUGGUGAGGUAACGGCUCACCAAGGCCACGAUGCAUAGCCGACCUGAGAGGGUGAUCGGCCACACUGGGACUGAGACACGGCCCAGACUCCUACGGGAGGCAGCAGUAGGGAAUCUUCGGCAAUGGACGAAAGUCUGACCGAGCAACGCCGCGUGAGUGAAGAAGGUUUUCGGAUCGUAAAACUCUGUUGUUAGAGAAGAACAAGGACGUUAGUAACUGAACGUCCCCUGACGGUAUCUAACCAGAAAGCCACGGCUAACUACGUGCCAGCAGCCGCGGUAAUACGUAGGUGGCAAGCGUUGUCCGGAUUUAUUGGGCGUAAAGCGAGCGCAGGCGGUUUCUUAAGUCUGAUGUGAAAGCCCCCGGCUCAACCGGGGAGGGUCAUUGGAAACUGGGAGACUUGAGUGCAGAAGAGGAGAGUGGAAUUCCAUGUGUAGCGGUGAAAUGCGUACAUAUAUGGAGGAACACCAGUGGCGAAAGCGGCUCUCUGGUCUGUAACUGACGCUGAGGCUCGAAAGCGUGGUGAGCAAACAGGAUUACAUACCCUGGUAGUCCACGCCGUAAACGAUGAGUGCUAAGUGUUGGAGGGUUUCCGCCCUUCAGUGCUGCAGCAAACGCAUUAAUCACUCCGUCUGGGGGAGUACGACCGCCACGGUUGAAACUCAAAAGGAAUUGGACGGGGGGCCCGCACCAAGCAGAUGGGAGCAUGAGGGUUGUAUUUCCAAUCCAACGCGAAGGAGCCUUACCACGUCCUUGAACUCCUGUUGACCUCUUCUAGAAGAUAAAAGCAUUGACCCUUCCGGCGUACCAAGGAGAACAAGGUGGUGGCAUUGGUUUGUUCAAUCAACAUACAUGUACUUUGACGAUAAUAGAGA
rnacentral:rRNA from 1 species